AGUCAGAUACAAAACAAAAGUAACAAAAGAAAUGGGAUGGUAACAAUCAGCCGUAUAAUUUUCUCCACCUGUAGUCAGGUCAAGGUCCUCGGUUAAAGCUUCGGACUUGACCUGACUACUCGUGCAGAAAAACUAUACGGCAACGGUUGUUAUCAGCCUGGUUUUUUUUUGUUACCUUUGUUCUGUAUCUAAUACAUGUUCAGAUUAAAAGAUAUACUGUAAUACAUGUACUAAAGGCGAGGAUUUCUUUGAAAGGGGGAUAAGACAGAAACUGGAAAUGGCAUAUAAGGGUUCCACCCAGAAUGUAUUACAUGUGAAACCAGAUAGUAUUGAACAACUGAAAGAUGUUUUGGAGAGGGCACAGCAGGGAAACCGUAUUGCAAUACCUACAGAAGGCAGCAUCGAAGAUGACUGGGCGCAUCGAAUUAG